AGUAUUGCACUUCCAAAAUUUUCCCUGCUACAGAAGUACUGGGGAAGACAGUCUGUCUGAAACGUACAGAACAAGAAUUGGAGACUUCAAAAAUGAAAAUUCCACUUCUAGAAAUUGACAUUUUUUGUCAAAUAUGUGCAUUUCAGCCUAGGCAACAAAGGAUUCAAAAUCUCUUCUUUUAAACACCUGCAACUACUCAUUCCUGAAGUGGCUGAAGUAUGUGUGCUGUGCUUUAUCCAGAGCUUAUCUGUCAGUCAAGUGACAGCUACUGACCAGUCUAAUACAGCACAGAUGGAAAGUUUCACAUCAGGACUUGGCAUUCAGAAACGGCUAAAGGUCAAGAAAGAUUCCACUGUGCAGAUUCAUCGUGACAGCACGCAGGCUCUCCAGCGGCAGAGAGGUUUUGUGCACGAGGACGCGUGCAGGGUGGCAGCUGUCUGCAAUAACACGGCACGGGCAGCGGCGGGGAAGGAGAAGGGUCAGCGAUGGAGGUGUUUGCUCAGGCCGGUCCGCCCGGAAGCAAGUUUUGCAAAACGGGCUGGUAUGGCUUGCACCCACCGCAGCGGUUUGGCUGCCACCCGCCGCAGACCCUACGGGAGCAGAGGCACCAGCCGCUGUGAGCUACCGUGGAUUUGACAGACUUUCUAGAUGUCAGCAAGCAUCCGCGAUGUCCCCCGCUGCUGGGCUCUCUGCCGGACCAUGUCUUGCCCACAGGUGAAGAGAGAGAAGGCGUAAAGAUGGUUGAACCCUUUCUAGACCCGACAGUGCAUGCCCUGAACUUUUGCUGGGCUUUCUACCAGCCCUUCUAGCUGACUUUACUGAACUGCUGUUUUAAUCAUGAAAAUUCCCCCAGUUUCCACACGGGAAGCAGGCAGGUCUCUCCUGCUUGCUGCCGGUCGACACGGAGCAGUUGUGCCAGGGGCUUCUGCUCUUUCCCACCCUCCGUCCCUGCAUCGAGUGCUCUCCAAGGUCCGCGGCUCGCAGGCCAUCUGCAGUCCCGUGACCGGUGCGCUGCUUGAUCUCUGCUCUAGGUCCGUGCCAAGUAGGUGAAAGUUGUGCUGCGACUGUGUCGUUUUAGGGAGGCCAUCUCCAACUGUUAGUAUUAAAUGGAGAGGAAGUUGCUUUUCACUGGGAAGAAAUGCUGGAUACAUCUGAUCUUCUGAUGCAAAACACCGUGUACGCGUGGGUGAACAAGGACCAAAGGAAACGUAGGAUACUGUUUACACGUAUGGCCGAGCCUGUGCAAUCACAGGCCGGGAUAAGGCAUCCAGCAGGCUGGUGAGGACACUGGGAAAUUUCAUAACAGGUCACUCGGCGCUCACAGAUGCUGCUAUUAAAACACAACAAGUUUUAUUGCCAUUGCCGGACUCUAAAUCUCCAACUUCAACGACUGGCGCCUUUCGGAAGAAAACAUCCGGCUUCAGCAAACUUUGAUGCUCUCCAAGCGUGAGCCACCGUGCGUCACUUGCGGAUGGGGCUCGUAACAGGCAGAGCGCAGUUAGAAAAUACAUUGCAAAACCAGAACGCAAGGAUCUAGCGCCUGCCUUGUCUCGCUCAAGGCACGGGCACCUCGGACGUCGCGAUGUGGCUGCUGAUGGGCCUCUUCUACCCCGCAGGGGGCAGAUGAAGUUCUGCU
ensembl:lncRNA